rnacentral:rRNA from 1 species
AGUGAACGCUGGCGGUAGGCCUAACACAUGCAAGUCGAACGGCAGCACAGGAGAGCUUGCUCUCUGGGUGGCGAGUGGCGGACGGGUGAGGAAUACAUCGGAAUUUACCUUUUCGUGGGGGAUAACGUAGGGAAACUUACGCUAAUACCGCAUACGACCUACGGGUGAAAGUGGGGGACCGCAAGGCCUCACGCGAUUAGAUGAGCCGAUGUCCGAUUAGCUAGUUGGCGGGGUAAUGGCCCACCAAGGCGACGAUCGGUAGCUGGUCUGAGAGGAUCAUCAGACACACUGGAACUGAGACACGGUCCAGACUCCUACGGGAGGCAGCAGUGGGGAAUAUUGGACAAUGGGCGCAAGCCUGAUCCAGCCAUACCGCGUGGGUGAAGAAGGCCUUCGGGUUGUAAAGCCCUUUUGUUGGGAAGGAAAUCCAGCUGGCUAAUACCCGGUUGGGAUGACGGUACCCAAAGAAUAAGCACCGGCUAACUUCGUGCCAGCCGCCGCCGUAACAC